AAUAUCCUACAUCGGUUUUUAGUUGCAGUUCUUUGGGAUUGAGUUUGGGAUUGGGUAGGCAAAUCUGUUCCUAGAUCUGCUUGCAGAGGCAACAAAUAUACUGGGGCAUCUUCAGGUGCUUGGAACGCCAGAUAACCUUUGGAGCGCACUGAAGUCUUGCGCAUGGAAGGCAGGGCACUUCCUGUUUUUCCUCAGAUAUUUUCUUGCUUACCAGAGAGCGCUUUCUAUAUUGAGUAAUGGAGAAACAGGCAUCCACCCACCGAACUAGUAACGUUAGGUCUGCACUUAUGGACAAAUGAAUCACAGGAAAUAUUGAAACUAAGUGGUUUUGUAGUUUAACGAUGGACUCGAUACGUCAAGCGUGAAUAGUGAGACCCAACAAGGGGUACUGCUAACUACCUCCACGCUAGCAAGGAUAACCAGCUAGUGAACGUAAGCUAGCUAACUUGGUACAAUCAGCUACGAUUUACUGUUGUGAAUGGUGAAACGUUACCUAGCUGACGUUUGCGUGCCAGACUGUCAAACCGAGUAACGUUUCUCUUCUCUGAAAGGUAUUUCCCCAACCAGGAAAGAGCAUGCGGAGAGAGCUGCAUCCGCUCUAGAAUGAAGAAGAGCCCGGCGCACCGCUGCAGGGACAUAGAGAGGCAAGCCGGUUACCUGCAGCCCGAGCACUGCGCCCCUCCCCCGACCCGCCCCAGUUCCGACGCCAUGUGGUUCAUCCGUGACUGCUGCGGCAUCGCGUGCGGCGUCAUCACCUGGUGCCUGGUGUUCUACGCCGAGUUCGUGGUGCUCUUCGUCAUGCUGCUGCCCGCCAAGAACCUGCUCUAUAGUCUAAUCAACGGGGCACUGUUCAGUACCCUCGCCUUCCUCGCUCUGGCUUCGCACGCCCGGGCCAUGUGCACAGACCCGGGUGCGGUGCCUAAAGGGAACGCGACCAAGGAGUUUAUCGAGAGCCUGCAGCUCAAGCCCGGUCAGGUGGUCUACAAAUGUCCCAAGUGCUGCAGUAUCAAGCCUGACAGAGCUCACCACUGCAGGUACAGUACAGGACUGCUGCAGUAUAAAGCCUGACAGAGCUCACCACUGCAGGUACAGUGCAGGACUGCUGCAGUCUAAAGCCUGACAGAGCUCACCACUGCAGUGUGUGUAAACGCUGUAUCAAGAAGAUGGACCACCAUUGCCCAUGGGUAAACAACUGCGUAGGAGAGAAGAACCAGAAAUUCUUUGUGCUUUUCACAAUGUACAUUGCACUGAUAUCCCUCCAUGCCCUGGUCAUGGUUGCCUUCCAUUUUAUCUUCUGCUUCGAGUCAGACUGGACGAAGUGCAGUACAUUCUCUCCUCCUGCGACCGUCAUCCUCCUCAUCUUCCUCUGCUUUGAGGGACUCCUCUUCCUCAUUUUCACCUCAGUGAUGUUUGGGACCCAGGUCCAUUCCAUCUGUACCGAUGAGACGGGCAUAGAGCAGUUGAAAAAGGAGGAGAGAAGAUGGGUUAAAAGGACAAAGUGGAUGAACAUGAGGGUGGUAUUUGGCCAUCCAUUCUCCAUAGCCUGGCUAAGUCCCUUUGCAACCCCCGACCACGGGAAGGCAGACUAUUACCAGUACGUUGUCUGAGAUGAAGAAGCCAAGCUCCAGCACCCGUGCUACCAGCCUGUCUUUCAGGGUGCGGACUGAUGAUGCGUACAGGCGAAGGUGUUCCCACCGCCUGACUUCACUGAGCAUUAACUCUUGACACUUCUUCUCCUUUUCUGUUUUUGAUCAUUUUUAAAUUUCAGGGUCUUCUUCGUGGAAAACAUCUUUCUGCCUGUUUUUAAUACUUGUCACUUAUUUUAGUUUUCUUUGCCUGGUGCUGAUUUUGAUACCUGUAUGAAAAACAAGUUAUUUUCCCUUCUGUUCACAAUCACAGACAAGCCCUGCAAAACCAUCAACUGUAAAAUGAGUCUCUGCUUCUCUCACGUUUAACAUGAAAGAGAGCACUUACUGAUGUAACCUAGCCAGAGACUGAAUCUGAAGUGGCUAUAAACUAGGCUCUACCUUUGGGAUAGAAAGGGUAGACACUCUUAAACCCAACGUACAGUAUUUCCUGUAUUUGUUCAUGUCCCGUUUUGAGGACUAGACCUAAACAAAGCAAACGCAUGACCUGAAUUCAGAUUGGCUUUUCAGUGGACGAAAACGAUCAGUUCCAAUAGGCAUAUUUUCUCUUCCAAUGUUGCAGUACCUCAGCCUUUCCAUAAAGUAUCCUUUAUGGGUAUAAGCUAUAGCCUUUGGUGCCAGCGCCACGCUGUUGAUGUACUACCGACCCACAAGGCAUUACAUUUGCUGUUUAGAACAGCCAAAUCUGUUGCUGCAAGCUGCAGAGUCUUUGCCUUAUAGGCAUGCCAGGCCGCGCAGACUCCAGAGAUUGAACUUCACUGAGUUCACCCCAUUAGUUUGCGCUACAUAGAUCAACGUUUUUUCUGUGAUCAAAUCAACAUUAUAAACUGGGAUGUCCUGAAUGCUGAUUAGCUGACAGCUAUAUCAGACUGUAUACCACGGGUUUGACAAAACAUGUAUUUUUACUGCUCUAAUUACCUUGGUAACCAGUUUAUAAUAGAAAUAAGGCACCACAGGGGUUUGUGGUAUAUGACCAAUACACCACCGCUAAGGGCUGUAUCCAGGCACUCCACGUUGCGUCGUGCAUAAAAACAGCCCGUAGCCGUGGUAUAUUGGCCAUAUACCACACCCCCUCGUGCCUUAUUGCUUAAUUAUAUCAGCCCCUUUAAGCUGUUUUUGAAAAACUAGUCAGGUAAAAAGCGUGUGUGUUUUAAUUAAAGGGGCAGUGUUGUAUUUUGAGACAGCCUUGAAUAUGGAAAUGAGCCAAUAGGCAGAAGGGUAGUCUUCAUUGUCUAAUUCUUUGAAUGAUAAUAAUUAAUUAUUUGAAAAGUGUUUGAAAAGCAUCAUACAAUGCAAUGUACCUAUUUGGCCCAUGGUGUUACAGACCAAGUAAAAAGUCAUUAAUUAAUGUCAAACCCUUCAUAAUGUAAAAAUGUUUAAAGGUAUCAUGCAAUGUAGUCCUGCAUUGAACACCACAUAUAGACUACUGUAGGCUAUAUCAUAGAAAUUGCUUUUGAUUUCUAUCUGAAAAUGUAAUGGGAUUUGCUCCAUUGGUUUUGUUGGUAGGACUACAUUAUGCUCAAAUAGCCACAAUAGCCUAUUGGUUACUGUCUAAAACUGUAAGGGUUCCACCUCAGUAUUCACUGUAAUCGCGUGUCGGAACUUGCACAGUUUCCGCUCACAACACCUCAUAUUUGCUCAGCCCCCCCCCCCAAAAAAAUGUUUACUUAUAGGACAGUACACCAUGGCAGUUGGGUAAAGAUAUUUUUGUAGCUCUGUAACCUUAAGUUUCAGUUGAAUAGGGUAUCUGCUUCCUCUCACAGGCUGUCAGUCAUGUCCAUGUGCAGGAUGGGUCCCCUCCGAAGGUCAUGACAGGAUGAUUGAAAGUCCAACUGCGGUAGCGGCUGGUGACAGUGGUGGAUGGUUGUCUGUUGUAGCAGGAUGUCUUACUGGCUGGUGUAUGUGACAACUGUUUCUAUAGAAAAAGUACUGUAAUGCCCUCUGAGAUUUUCAUUUGAUCACUGAAUAACUAUACAACUGGUAAAUCAAAAGUACAUAAUAUUUAACGUUUUGGAACAGAAGCCUGCAGCUAUGUGUAAUUCCCCUGUGUUCACUAAAUGGAAUUUGUUAAAUGUCAUAUCAUAGGCUAUCGGCUUGACAUUUGUGGUUAUGAAUCUGACUGAGCUAAGCUUUGCGGGACAAACAUUGGUGAUGACAUUUAGGCCAGUGAAACGUGCACUGAAACCCGAAAGAACAUUGUGGACCAUGCUAACUAGUUCACACACUAUGUAAAGGCACAGACCGGUCUCCUAGAGACAGUCUAGAUUGGCUCUAGGCCAAUUGCAAACAAACAAGCUUCAUUCAAAGCAGAUACUUCAGUGAAAAUGCCUUUGUCGAGUGAGAAAAGGAUCACACAAUCAAUCGUGUGUUCAGAAGCCUUACUAUAGAAAGAGUAUGGGCUGUUGGUGAUGAACAGAAUGGCUACAUCCCGAAUGGGGCUCUAUUCCCACAGGGCUCUAGUCAAAAGUUGUGUACUGUGUAGGGAAUAGAGUGCCAUUUGUGGCACAGCCUAACUCAUGUAGAAUAUUUUUGGUGCCAUAUUUUCUGGUUUAUGAAUGAGGAAUCUCGGAACUCUUUCACCCUCCCUGCAUAUCAUUUUGUACAGCUUAUGGUGGAAUGUACCAUUGAGGCCACCGGGGAACUUUCAGAAACAUAUGCCUUUUAUGAAAAUGCAUUUUACAGACUGUCAAAGCCAUGCUGAAUGAACACAAUGGUUAUGUAUUCAUCAAACAAAAAUGUUUCUCUCUUAAUUGAGAAUUGAGAGUGCAUUUGCACGGCAUGGGUGUCAUUUGAAAUGUGUAUGGACCACAUUUUAUAGAUAAAAAAAAAAAAAAUGUAUUAUGAAGAAUAAAAUCAACUUUGAAGUCACUAAAG